GGGGAUUUAGCUCAGCGGCAUAAGCGCCUGCCUUGUAAGCAGGCAGGCAGUCUUGAGUUCGAUCCCCG
rnacentral:tRNA from 1 species